GGAUGCAGGACAAGAUAGGCCUUGGGCCUGAUCCAGCAGGGCCGUUCUUAUGUUCAGCUGCCACAAAUGGAGACUCUGUUCCUUGAAGGAGGGGUUUUAAAUCCUUCUCCCACAGAUCUCCAGUAUUCCAAGCCCCAAAAGCUCCAGACUUUGCCUUCACAGCUAAAGUGAGCCCACCAACAGCACCCUGUGAAUUCAUUGCCUUCAGAAGCAGUGGAAUGCUAACAGUCAUGCGAAAGAACUGGGGUCUGGAAUAAUUUAGGGAGCAUACUGAAGGUCUCAUAGGCAGUGACAGUUAUGUAAGGUUCAUUUUUCUGGAGCCAGAAGAGUACAACCCUAAAUUAUCAUUGGUCUUCAACUGGGGGUUAUGACUGACAACUCCCUCGGAACUACUAGUUGGCAGAUAUAGCAGAAUUCCAAUUUGCCCCUGUAACUCUGAGGAGACCGAGUCAGUUAUACAUGUGCUCCUGUGGUGUGUCUUUUAUAUAGUCUUAGGUGAAGGUUAAUUGACCCUGUGUUACAUAACCUGCCAGGACAACUGGACGAAUUCUUUGUCAAAUAUUUUUUAACAGAUGCAAAUCCGUCUAUCACACACACAGUUGCGAAAUUCUGUUCUGCAAUACAAGUCCAACACGCUCUGCUCGCUAAUGGUUAGAUCCAGUGUACAGAUAUGUUAUCAAUAUGGCUAUGUUUAAAUUUUACAUUUGUUGUAGAUGUUUUGAUAUUGGUCAAAGACCAUAAUAAAGACUGACAACUGGACAGCACUCCAAGCUGAAGUGUCUUAUGCCAGUUGUGCGAUUUUCUUUAUGAAGUUAAAAAGUUAAAAAGACAGAAACAGAGAAAUAAGGUAAAACACUAGUGGAUUCCACAUUCCAGGAUGGAGCUGAAGAAUGCCUUAGGUCUGAAAAGGUUGAAGACCACUGCUGGAAAUGGAUCACCCAAGCCCUCUUCAGCAUCUGGUGGCAGAGAAGAAAACUGAGAUCACACUGCCCAAGUUCCAAGUCAAACCAUCCCAUCAAUCUGUCUGAACAGCAGUGGUAGCAAGAGAUUGCAUCUCACUUUUGCCAUUAGUCUCCUGAAUAAAUCUAACCAUUUUCAUCCUUCCGCUGGAUGAAGAAAAACCUGGUUCUCAUUUCCCUUUAAGAUUCCAAAAUGUUCAAAGAAAAAAUAAAGAUGGAGCAGGGGAGGAGCUGUGAGCCAAGACUAAAUUCUGUUCCUGGGUCAAAGGUCAUUUCUGCAUGUCAAUGUUCUUCUUCCUUGAGAUGCUGCCAAUGAAAAUUUCCUCAUAGCACAGAAAAGGCAAGGAGGAUUCCCAAAGCAAGCUUCUCCAGAAGACCAAGCUACAUGCCUAGUGGCUUCCCUUUCCUUCACUUACUCAGCAGUUCAGCAGAGCAGAGGUCAGAAGAAAGAAGAGCAGCACCUCACAGAAUGCUGAGUACGUUGGAAGAGGGGAAGAAGUGUUACAGUGGAAGCUAAAGAAAAAUCCACAUAUUUCACUCCCCAAAAAAUAAGGCAACAAGUUGCAAGAGGCACCACUGAAAACCAACAACACAUCUAGAAUCACAGGUCAGCUGCCACCAAAGGAAAACCAUGGACCAGAAGAACUAGCCCUUGCUGGCUUCCACAAAGUUACAUUCAGCCGCCUCUCUGUUACACUCAGUAGUGAACAGACACUUAUGUAAACUUGUGCAUAUAUGGAUUAAACUUGGAUAUAAAUACACCGAGGAGUCCCUCCCGUCAAAGAACAUAAAUAGAUCCGUGACCCCACCCUCCCAGUUCUGUAAACAUUUGGCAAUACAUAUAUAUACAUACACAGAUUGCUUCCAGCAAACUAAUGUGCAAAAUAUGGCCGCCUCAUACAGGGGACAAGCAAUGAGGUAUAUCGUGUCUGUGUGUGGGUUACCCGUAAGCUACUUCAGACCUGCUGUGCAGGGCUCUAGGUGGUUGCACACCCAUCCUGAGUUGGCCUGAAGAUCCUGACAACCCCCUGCCCAUCCACACCAACCGUGUGGUUUCAGACGGAGAAAAAGAAACAUCACAUCAGGAUGCAGCUGCGCUGUUCACCAUAUGAGUUGUCCACACGGUCUAUUUCUUCAAUGAUCUUUGUGAAGAUACCUUGAGUCAUCUGAGAGACAGAAAGAGGGAGAAGUGUCCGUUUACCAUUGUUUCCAUGUUUUAACUUUGUUUUUGUGUUUUAUUGUAAACCUCCCAGAGACGCGAGUGUUGGGGGACGUACAAAUAUGCUGGAUAAAUAAAUAAAAAGUUACGCAAGGAUGA